rnacentral:rRNA from 1 species
AGUGACCUGCCCUGGAGUGGGGAAUAACUCUGCGAAAGCAGCGCUAAUACCGCAUUCGCUUAUGGCUUCAGUGCCCUAAGUAAAGCUUUAUGCGCUUCAGGAGGGGCUUGCGGCCGAUUAGCUAGUCGGUGGGGUAAUGGCCUACCGAGGCGACGAUCGGUAGCUGGUCUGAGAGGAUGACCAGCCACACUGGGACUGAGACACGGCCCAG